rnacentral:misc_RNA from 1 species
GGUGAGGGGUUGUUCUAAACAACCUGUGUGGAUUUCAUAGAAAGACUGUAGUUAACGUUUCUGUUACUGUGUUACUGUGUACUGUUUGAUUAUUAUCUUCAGUACAAGCAAUGUUUUAAACAUGUUGCAGACCAAGACUUUUAGCUUGAGUGCUAUACUAGUACAUAAUGUUGUUUAACUGUGUAUUGUGGAUGUAUGCUCUCCCCGAGUUGUUUUUUAUGUGAAGAUGAACAGGGAAUAAACGAGCAAUGCUCAUUUCUU